rnacentral:snoRNA from 1 species
AAGUCACUUCAAAGAGGGCAUAUGGGCUGUGAAAGCAGGACUUCUCAUAGCUAUGAUCAAAAACUGAAGUUCUCCCUAGGAUUCGACAAUAUUCAAUAGUGCCAAAAUUUUCUGAAGAGAUAUAAAA